AGUGAACGCUGGCGGUAGGCCUAACACAUGCAAGUCGAACGGCAGCACAGGAGAGCUUGCUCUCUGGGUGGCGAGUGGCGGACGGGUGAGGAAUACAUCGGAAUCUACCUUUUCGUGGGGGAUAACGUAGGGAAACUUACGCUAAUACCGCAUACGACCUACGGGUGAAAGUGGGGGACCGCAAGGCCUCACGCGAUUAGAUGAGCCGAUGUCCGAUUAGCUAGUUGGCGGGGUAAUGGCCCACCAAGGCGACGAUCGGUAGCUGGUCUGAGAGGAUGAUCAGCCACACUGGAACUGGGACACGGUCCAGACUCCUACGGGAGGCAGCAGUGGGGAAUAUUGGACAAUGGGCGCAAGCCUGAUCCAGCCAUACCGCGUGGGUGAAGAAGGCCUUCGGGUUGUAAAGCCCUUUUGUUGGGAAAGAAAUCCUGUCGAUUAAUACUCGGUGGGGAUGACGGUACCCAAAGAAUAAGCACCGGCUAACUUCGUGCCAGCAGCCGCAGUAAAAC
rnacentral:rRNA from 1 species